UUUUUUUUUUUUUUCGCAAGCUAAAAGAAACAUGUCACGCCUACAUUUGUAAAGCUUUGAGGAAAAACUGGCCGACAACGCAGGAGACAUUUUAAAUGCAAUCGUGUUGCAGUGACUUGGGAUUGCCACACGAUGGCAGUGUUGGCUGUUGAAAUUUCGAUCUUCAGCGCUCACGUCUGGAAUGGAUCCAGAAAGCGCGGGAUGCUGUGUCGGUGUUUUAAAUCAUCUUUGCUGCGCACUCAGUGUCCUUAAUAAUACAGUAUUUCCUCUUACAUUGAUCCAGAGUUUCCUUUACAAUCUGUGGUAAUAAAAGUACAUUUCCCUACUCUUAAAGCUUAAUUAUUUAAGAGAUUAGUCUUAAUCUAGAUUACUUUCCUCGAACUGGGCACAAGGGGAGGUAUUCAUGUUUCUUACCAACAAUUGCCCACCCUUCAGUCUCUCCUCCUGAUCAACCCUUUCCGCUAUCUUUGGGAUGAUGGUUGGUGUAUCUUUCUGGUGGUCAAUGGAUAAGAGCUGGGAUUCACCCUGGACAGGUAGUAAAAUGUUAGACAUUCCCCCUUCAGAGAAGUCAUUCUUGGAUGGCUACAGAACCUAACACGGAGAUCCCAUAAGCACACCAAUAAAGUCACAGACAGUCGGAGCCAGAUGUUCAGCAGCUGGUCGAAAUAGCAACGUCAGGUAUGUUCUUAUCCUUGUCAAAAACACUUUGAGCAAUAUUUCUACUGGAAAUAAAUGUAAAGAAAAUAUAUUUGUAAAAAAAAAAAAAGAAAAGAAGCUGCAUCAGGGGUUGUGCGUCUGGAAGCAUGACCUAUCUAAUAUUGGGUUUGCAAUGAAUUAGCAGGAUUUUGCAUUGUUCACCUAUUGUAACACCUGCGGCAUUUAUAAGACACUUUCUGGUUACCCACAUCAAAGGCAUUUUUCUCCUGCACUGCUGGACCCAACUUCAAAGCGAUUUCCAGACCUUUUUUUUUUGUCCAAAACCAGCUGUAAAACCCCAGUGGAGGCGGAGACCUCUGUUCCUUUCUCCAUAUAGCAGUGUGUUGUUGCCAUGGCGCUCAGGUGGUGUUGACACUGGAGGGUGUAAACAGGACGGAAGGGAACAAGGAGUUGAUGAGUAGGGGAGAGAAGGAGUCACAGAUGACACAAGUCUUGGCGAUAAAUUGCAUUGCUAAGGGUGGAAGAGCAAGAGUUUAUGCUUACUGUUACAAAAACAUGUUUUUCUCAUGAAUUUGUUCUUUAUUGUAUUUGUUUUUAUUUUUUUUUCCUUUCAGAAACCGCAACUUUUUCUGAAAUAACUCGUAAUAACGUCUAUGGCUUUUUAACAGUUAUGCUUUUGUCCCUUACAGAUUUCUUUUGUUUUUGCUUUUUGGCACAAUUUAAUGUUUUAGAUUACUAAACAUCCUUUACACAUCAGACAAAAGUAACCGGAAUAAAUACAAAAGAUGAUGAUUCACUUA